GCCUGCCCAGUGACCUUGUUUAACGGCCGCGGUAUCCUAACCGUGCGAAGGUAGCGUAAUCACUUGUUCUCUAAAUGCGGACUAGUAUGAACGGCAUCACGAGGGUUAUACUGUCUCCUUUUUCUAAUCAGUGAAACUAAUCUCCCCGUGAAGAGGCGGGGAUAAAACUAUAAGACGAGAAGACCCUAUGGAGCUUAAAACAAUAUAGCACUUGCCUUACAACAUAAAAUUUCCGAAUCUGUUUCCAAAGCAAUAUGACUGUAAGUUUUUGGUUGGGGUGACCGCGGAGCAAAAUUUAACCUCCAUGUUGAAAGAAUCUAAGCUAAGGAGCACCCUUCUAAGCAUCAAUAUAUUGACAUCAAUUGACCCAAUACAUUUGAACAACGAACCAAGUUACCCUAGGGAUAACAGCGCA
rnacentral:rRNA from 1 species